rnacentral:rRNA from 1 species
ACACGACUACAUUAGAUACCCGCGUAGUCCUAGCCGUAAACGAUACUCGCUAGGUGUCGGCCACGGUGCGACCGUUGUCGGUGCCGUAGGGAAGCCGUGAAGCGAGCCACCUGGGAAGUACGGCCGCAAGGCUGAAACUUAAAGGAAUUGGCGGGGGAGCACAACAACGGGUGGAGCUUGCGGUUUAAUUGGAUUCAACGCCGGAAAUCUUACCGGGACCGACAACAACAUGAAGGCCAAGCUGAAGACUUUGCCGGAUUAGCUG